rnacentral:rRNA from 1 species
AUAAACGCUGGCGGCGCACAUAAGACAUGCAAGUCGAACGGACUUAACCAUUAGUUUACUAUUGGAGCGGUUAGUGGCGGACUGGUGAGUAACACGUAAGCAACCUGCCUAUCAGAGGGGAACAACAGUUAGAAAUGACUGCUAAUACCGCAUAUGCCUUGAAUAUCACAUGAUGUAAAAGGGAAAGGAGCAAUCCGCUGAUAGAUGGGCUUGCGUCUGAUUAGAUAGUUGGUGGGGUAACGGCCUACCAAGUCGACGAUCAGUAGCCGGACUGAGAGGUUGAACGGCCACAUUGGGACUGAGAUACGGCCCAGACUCCUACGGGAGGCAGCAGUCGGGAAUAUUGCGCAAUGGAGGAAACUCUGACGCAGUGACGCCGCGUGCAGGAAGAAGGUUUUCGGAUUGUAAACUGCUUUAGACAGGGAAGAAACAAGACAGUACCUGUAGAAUAAGCUCCGGCUAACUACGUGCCAGCAGCCGCGGUAAUACGUAGGGAGCAAGCGUUAUCCGGAUUUAUUGGGUGUAAAGGGUGCGUAGACGGGAAAACAAGUUAGUUGUGAAAUCCCUCGGCUUAACUGAGGAACUGCAACUAAAACUAUUUUUCUUGAGUGCUGGAGAGGAAAGUGGAAUUCCUAGUGUAGCGGUGAAAUGCGUAGAUAUUAGGAGGAACACCAGUGGCGAAGGCGACUUUCUGGACAGUAACUGACGUUGAGGCACGAAAGUGUGGGGAGCAAACAGGAUUAGAUACCCUGGUAGUCCACACCGUAAACGAUGGAUACUAGGUGUAGGGUGUGAUAAACAUUCUGUGCCGUCGCAAACGCAGUAAGUAUCCCACCUGGGGAGUACGGCCGCAAGGUUGAAACUCAAAGGAAUUGACGGGGGCCCGCACAAGCAGUGGAGUAUGUGGUUUAAUUCGACGCAACGCGAAGAACCUUACCAGGGCUUGACAUAUACAGGAAUAGCUUAGAGAUAAGUUAGCUCUUCGGAGUCUGUAUACAGGUGGUGCAUGGUUGUCGUCAGCUCGUGUCGUGAGAUGUUGGGUUAAGUCCCGCAACGAGCGCAACCCCUAUUCUUAGUUGCCAGCACGUUAAGGUGGGAACUCUAAGAAGACUGCCGGUGAUAAAUCGGAGGAAGGUGGGGACGACGUCAAAUCAUCAUGCCCUUUAUGUCCUGGGCUACACACGUACUACAAUGGCUAUAACAAAGGGAAGCGAAGCCGCGAGGUGAAGCAAAACUCAAAAAAGUAGUCUCAGUUCGGAUUGAAGGCUGAAAUUCGCCUUCAUGAAGCCGGAAUUGCUAGUAAUGGCAGGUCAGCAUACUGCCGUGAAUACGUUCCCGGGCCUUGUACACACCGCCCGUCACACCAUGAGAGUUGGGAAUACCCGAAGCCUGUGAGCUAACUGUAAAGAGGCAGCAGUCGAAGGUAGAAUCAAUGAUUGGGGUG